GAUCAUGGCUCAGGAUGAACGCUAGCGACAGGCUUAACACAUGCAAGUCGAGGGGCAGCAUAAAAGUAGCAAUACUUGGUGGCGACCGGCGCACGGGUGAGUAACGCGUAUGCAACCUACCUAUCAGAGGGGAAUAACCCGGCGAAAGUCGGACUAAUACCGCAUAAAACAGGGACACCGCAUGGUGAUAUUUGUUAAAGAAAUUCGCUGAUAGAUGGGCAUGCGUUCCAUUAGGUAGUUGGUGAGGUAACGGCUCACCAAGCCGACGAUGGAUAGGGGAACUGAGAGGUUGGUCCCCCACACUGGUACUGAGACACGGACCAGACUCCUACGGGAGGCAGCAGUGAGGAAUAUUGGUCAAUGGGCGAGAGCCUGAACCAGCCAAGUCGCGUGAAGGAAAGAAGGAUCUAUGGUUCGUAAACUUCUUUUGCAGGGGAAUAAAGUGCAGGACGUGUCCUGUUUUGUAUGUACCCUGAGAAUAAGGAUCGGCUAACUCCGUGCCAGCAGCUGC
rnacentral:rRNA from 1 species